rnacentral:misc_RNA from 1 species
UGGUUUUUUAUUGUUUCAUACUCUGACUUUCUGAUAGACGCGAGAUAUUCCCUCUCGGAAUAAGUUGAAUCAUACGAAUGAUAUCCCAACAGAAAUCUCCAGACCUCUUUCCUCAGACCUUUCUCCACACCGCCGUAAAAGAUCCUCUUUCUUAGUGCCUGCGAGUCUACGAUCCUACCUUCAGAGUCCAAAAAGGUGGACCACUCUUCUGAUCCCAACGGAGGCUGGCGCGGUUUUCCCCAUACUAGUGAUAAUUUGUCAUAGUCAUACUCUAAAUUUUCAUCGCGCAUUGCAGCUUCUUCAUUCUUAUUAUGUUUCUCACAAGAACUUUCCUCGGACGAAUUUGCAG